UUUUUUUAAAAAAAAAUCAUUUUUCCUUCCUACUCCUCUCUCUGUACCCAACCGACCCAUACUAUCUCUAUCUUAAAAAUGUAUUUUCUUCUCCAUCCAAAUUUCAUAGAGCCUUGCAUGCAAAACCAAGUGGUAGUUUGAGUUUCAAUGGGUAAUUAGAGGACUCAAUGAAAAAGAUAGAAGAAGAAGUUGCGGGCUAAAGAUUAAAUUAGGGUUCUAAUUGGGAACAACAAUGGAGGAGACGAAAUCAAAUAGAAACAAGAGGAGAUUUUAUUCAAGAAAAGGAUGCAUUCAAGUUACAAUUUCUUCAAACCCCAAAGAGGUUGUGGCUAGUUUGGCUGGUCCUUCUGCCAAUAUUAUAUUUGGAACUGUUGUUGAUGAUUGUUACACUGGAGAGAUUCACGUGAUCAUCAACGCCACUGGCUAUCCGCAGUCUUUUCAGAAGCUUCUUGACAAAGUGGCAUAAGGAAAAGAAAGCAAGACAGUGCCUCCUCCCCUUCUAAUAUUUAUAGCAAUCAAAAUGGAAAAAGAAAAGCCUAUAUUUAAGGACUAGAAAAUAUGACAGGGCUAGAAAAUGCAUUUUCUUAGGAUUUCAACAUGGCACAAAAGGUUAUAUGAUGUUUGAGCUCCAAAAUCAUUCGACCUUUAUUUCUAGAAAUGUGAUUUUUCAUGAGCAUAGUUGACAACUAUUCGACUUCUUUUAGCUAUCGCAUCUUCUAACAAUUGGCAUUUACACCAACUUGAUGUGCAUAAUGCAUUUACUGCUUUGUUGAUAUAUGUAGAUGACCUUAUACUUGCUGGGAAUGACAGAAGAAAUAAAUUCAAUCAAGAAUCUUCUGAUCCAAUCCUUCAAGAUUAAAGACCUAGGAUACGUCAAGUACUUCCUAAGAUUGGAAAUAUCCAGAUCAGCAAAGGGUCUUCACAUAUGUCAACACAAAUAUGCUACGGAUAUACUGUCUGACACUAGCAUGCUAGCAUCUAAACCACUGUCUACACCAAUGCAAAGAGGAUUCAAGUUAACCAAGGAUACAUGAAACGUCUUAUCUGACCCUGAGGCAUAUGGAAGAUUAGUUGGAAGAAUAAUUUACCUUACAAAUACAAGACCAGACAUCUCAUAUGUAGUUCAACAACCCAGUCAAUUCAGCAUCAACCCACAGAUGAACAUCAUUCUGCAGCUGUUAGAAUUCUCAGAUACAUCAAAUCAUGUCCAGCUCUUGGCCUGUACUUUCCAUCAUAUUCAAAACUACAACUAAAGGCAUUUUGUGAUUCGAAUUGGGCAACCUGUCCGGAUACUAGAAGGUCAAUAAGUGGAUACUGUAUUUUUUUAGGCAAUUCCCUUGUCUCAUGGAAGUCUAGGAAUCAAUCAACUGUCUCCAAAUCAUCAUCAGAACCGGAAUAUAGAUCCAUGACUUCUACAGUUUGCAAAGUGCAGUCGCUCACCUAUAUUUUACAAGAUUUGCACAUAUCUUUCGCUAAACUGGCUCUAAUGUACUGUGACAGUCAGUCCGCACGACAUAUUGCAUCUAAUUCAUCUUUUCGCGAGAGGAUCAAGCACAUUGACUUGGAUUGCCUUAUUGUGAGAGAGAAACUACAACAAAAGAUAAUUCAUUUACUGCCAAUCUCUUCCAGUCAACAACUGGCAGACUUGUUCACUAAACAUCUUGAUCCGAGUGUGUUUUUUUAUGUUUGUCCGAGUGCUAUUACUCAUUUGUUACUUGCUCAUGUUUUGAGGAUCGGUACCCCUUAUUUAAUUUCGUUGUAAUCUCCUCUUUCUGGGCUUAGACUUUCUUUGAAAUAAAAAACAAGAAUUGGAUUGAUGCCGCUUCUUACUGGGUUGGAUGGAAACAAGUUAUGAAAAUCAAUUGUUAUUUUCUUUUUAUUGGUUUUUUGUUUAAUUUAUUUGUACUGACUAAUUCUGAUAAACUAAUGAAAAAAUGUAUCCUUAUUGAUAUAAGGCGAAAGUUUCCACCAUAUCCAGCUGUAGCCGAAGCAGUACAAAAGGACUAGAGGGCUGUAAGUAUUUAUAUGACUCAGGAUCUGUUCACUGAUUUUGGAUCUGCUUUGAGUUUGGUUGGACUUUUCAAGUUGAUACGUGUUUAUUUCUGCUUGGUGGAAGGGAGAGAAAAUAUGCCAGUCUGGUGGUGGUUGUGGAGGUUAGGGUUUAUUCAAAUGGUAACGUUUAUGAAGGUGAAAUGAAAGGAGGAAAGUGUUGUGGGAGUGGUGUUUAUUACUAUAAUAUAAGUGGAAGAUAUGAAAGUGAUUGGGUUGAUGGUAAAUAUGAUGGAUUUGGUGUUGAGACUUGGUCUAAGGGAAGUAUGUAUAGAGAUGGUUUCAGAAAUGGGUUUGGUGUUUAUAGAUUUUAUACUGCUGAUGUUUAUGCUGGUCAAUGGUUCAAUGGACAGAAAUGUAAGUUAGGAUGUUUGUUUUCAGUUAAUUACAUUUAUUUGUUGUGUUAUUUUCGUUGUUUCGGUUAUUUUUUCUUUGUUUUGCUUGAAUCGAUGAUUGGAAUUUGGCUUCUACGUUUGUUGAUACGAGUAGUUUGCUCUAAUAUUAGGUUGAAUAGAUUUGGGUUUCAGAUGUUAGGUAUUAAGGAUUAGUGAAGCUGGAAAAGAUAAGCAUGAUGAACUCAAGGAAUCAUACAUGAGACCGGCUUUACUAAAUAAGACAUGUUAAGAUUGGGUUUAGAUUCAAAGGUGAUGUUAUAUAUGUCUCUUCAAGCUAAGUCUGAAAGUACAAAUGAUCGAUGUCCUAAUUUUCUUGCAAGAGGCUGAGUCCAUGUUUUGAUAGACACCUUGUUUGUUGACCAUUAGCAACACUAAUCCCACCUAUUCUGUUUUUUUGUUGCAACUGUAUCAAUGAGUAGGAUUCUGGGCAUGCUUUUAAUGAAUAGUGGUUUCUAAUCCUAUUAUGCAUAAUGCAUCCUUCUGAUUUCUGUCAAAUGUAGGAAACCUAUCUUCUAAGUAAUCACCAUUAGUGCAUUAUUGUUGAAUUGAUUUAGAAUCUACAUUGAAUCAUGAUAUUGCUUUAGUGUGAAAUUACAAAGAAUGCAUAACAAACUCUUAACAAACUUUUGGGUCUCUGUUUAUUUUUCCUUUUUCAAUGUGAUACAAGUGAGACUGUUUCUCUUUAUAUAGUGUGCUUUACUACAUAAAGGACUUAGCUAGAUUACAACAAUAGGAUUAGCAAAUCCUUAAUCUAUUUCUAUUUUUGUGAUUAUAUCUCAUACACUUACAUUUAGAAUCUACUUUUUAAUAACAUAGCCCCAUGUUACCUAUGGUGCAGGCUUGUAUUCAUGGUGGCACGGUUUAAGGUGUCAAAUGUGUUAAUAUCUUGUAUCUAGUUCUUUUAUAUGGUUAAUAUCUCUUCUUAUCAACAUGUGCCAGAUCAGUUUAAAGAUUUUGUGUUUGGUAGCUUUUGGAAGAGUGUGACUCCCAACGAAGAACAAUUUGCUUAAGAGAAGGGUGAUCUUGGCUCAAGAUGUCAAAUGUGUUCUCUGCAGUACCAUUGCUGAAACUGAGGCCAUCUAUCUACUUACAACCAACACACUGGGAUUAGACUUGUUUAAGAUUUAAGAUAUUAUUUUGUAUUUUUAUUUGUAAUUUGGUUGUUGUAGUGUCUAGUAAGUAUAUACUUUUGGUCUAUAUUUUCUUUCUGUUUGUACAUGUAAUAUGAACUGUGAAUACUUUAGUAUUCAAUAUACUUUAGAUGUAGUUCUUUCAUAGGUUGAUUCUAUUCUAAUAUACUUUGAAAAUUAAAAAGU